CAAAUAAGCUUUUGUAUCUGCCAGUGAAUUUACUGUACUCCAAAUGAUUGCUUUCUUUUCUGGUGAUAUCUGUGCUUCUCAUAAUUACUGAAAGCUGCAAUAUUUUAGUAAUACCUUCGGGAUCACUGUCCCCCAUCUUCCGUGUUAGAGCAAAGUGAAGAGUUUAAAGGAGGAAGAAGAAAGAACUGUCUUACACCACUUGAGCUCAGACCUCUAAACCCUGUAUUUCCCUUAUGAUGUCCCCUUUUUGAGACACUAAUUUUUAAAUACUUACUAGCUCUGAAAUAUAUUGAUUUUUAUCACAGUAUUCUCAGGGUGAAAUUAAACCAACUAUAGGCCUUUUUCUUGGGAUGAUUUUCUAGUCUUAAGGUUUGGGGACAUUAUAAACUUGAGUACAUUUGUUGUACACAGUUGAUAUUCCAAAUUGUAUGGAUGGGAGGGAGAGGUGUCUUAAGCUGUAGGCUUUUCUUUGUACUGCAUUUAUAGAGAUUUAGCUUUAAUAUUUUUUAGAGAUGUAAAACAUUCUGCUUUCUUAGUCUUACCUAGUCUGAAACAUUUUUAUUCAAUAAAGAUUUUAAUUAAAAUUUGA
rnacentral:lncRNA from 1 species